CACUCCAAACCUACCCCCUCCUAUGAACGCCGCAGCUCUUGUAUUCUUAUGAAAAGGGAACCCUAAGUAUUUAUCGACUACUCUUGGUUGGGAAGGAUGGUCUAAUUCCAUUUACCGAAAAAGAAAAUGGGCCUGAAUGAUCAACGAACAUAAUAUAUACCAUUUUUUUCACAGGCUGUCGAUCCAUUUGAUGGAUAGGACCUAUAAAAGCAGAACAGUGAAUAUCAGAAUCACAAAUCCAAUGUAAAAAUAAAACAUUUAGGAGCCAUAUUCAAAAGAAUCCAAAAAUAAAAUAAAAACACGGUCUGAACCAAAAAACAGUGUUUGCAAUAGGCACUCCAAAACCUCAAACUAUGCCAACACAGGAUCAAGGUCGUGGAGAACAAUAGAGAAAUGAUCAAAUGGACAUUUAUAAGGAGUCGAAAACUUCCAAACGCCACGUAUAAAGGGACUUCAGAUCAAGUUGAUUUAAAAUUCUUGUACUUAUGCAGACAUAAAAUGUAAAAACAACCAUGUAAGGGUAUGAGUUAAUACCAGAAGACUGAGAAGGACUAGAGCCUGAAGGUGCACCCCUAGAACGAACAUUUGAUGCUCCUGAUCUACUCGGUUCCACAUCCCGUUGCAGCUGGUUUCCACAGCCGCCGCCACCACCAUGUUGCUGAGGCUGCUGUGGCGGUGCCCGUAUCCAAGCAGUACCACUGCCGCUACUAACAUCUUGUUGUCGCUGCUUCG
rnacentral:lncRNA from 1 species